CUUAUUUACCAAAUAAUUUCCCCAGAAUUAUAAUUAAUUGCUUGAUAAUAUCUCUUACAUUUUACAUACAAAGUAAAAUCCACUUGUGUCUGCCUUAUCAGUGUUUACAUUUCAGGUAGAGAAUUUGGUAUAAAAACUCACGCAAAAUCAAAAAGAGCAUAUAGUUCAAAAGAAACGACUAAACCAAAAACUUCAAAAUGUUCAGUGCUAAGUACUUGAUCGUUGUAGCCUUGCUGGUAUGCUGCCUCAUCUGUCAAGAGGUUGUGGAGGCAAGCUUCCGCCACGAAUUGCACAAGGCCGCUCACAAGGUCGAUAAAGUGGCUCACGCUGUUCAUAAGGCCCAGAAUGUGAUUGCUGCCGGUAGCGCUGUGGCUGGAGUCAUUGCCGGUGCCGCUGCUGCCUAGAAAUUUGACUUAAACGGACUACUUAUUUGGAAAAUUAUAAAAGAUCUACGCUUAGUUUUUAAGCCGUUAAAAUAAA